GGGGCUUUAGCUCAGCGGUAGAGCACUUGCCUAGCAAGCACAAGGCCCUGGGUUCGGUCCCCAGCUCUG
rnacentral:tRNA from 1 species